ACUUUUAAAGGAAAGUAGCCAUCCGCAGGUCUUAGGCACCUUUUCUCUUGGUGCAAGUCCAAGUAAAAGUA
rnacentral:tRNA from 1 species